GACGAACGCUGGCGGCGUGCUUAACACAUGCAAGUCGAACGAUGAAACCGGAGCUUGCUCUGGGGGAUUAGUGGCGAACGGGUGAGUAACACGUGAGUAACCUGCCCUGGACUCUGGGAUAAGCGUUGGAAACGACGUCUAAUACCGGAUAGGACCUUGGAUCGCACGAUCUGGGGUGGAAAGUUUUUUCGGUCUGGGAUGGACUCGCGGCCUAUCAGCUUGUUGGUGAGGUAAUGGCUCACCAAGGAUUCGACGGGUAGCCUGCCUGAGAGGGUGACCGGCCACACUGGGACUGAGAAACGGACCAGACUCCUGCGGGAGGCAGCAGUGGGGAAUAUGGCACAAUGAGCGAAAGCCUGAUGCAGCAGCGCGGCGUGCGGGAUGACGGCCUUCGGGUUGUAAACCGCUUUAAGUAGGGAAGAAGGGGUUCGGCUUGACGGUACCUGCAGAAAAAGGACCGGCUAACUACGUG
rnacentral:rRNA from 1 species